rnacentral:rRNA from 1 species
CUAUACAUGUUCGAGGCCAUUUGGCGGCGUUUAUUAGACCUAAAACCAAACCGCUUGCGGUGUCCGGUGAUUCAUAAUAAAUAUGCGAAUCGUACUCUGUACGAUGUAUCAUUCAAGUUUCUGACCUAUCAGCUUUGGGCGGGAGGGUAUUGGCCUACCGGGGCAACGACGGGUAACGGGGAAUUAGGGUUUGAUUCCGGAGAGGGAGCCUGAAAAACGGCUACCACAUCUAAGGAAGGCAGCAGGGGCGCAAAUUACCCAAUCCUGACACAGGGGGGUAGUGACAAGAAAUAACAAUACGGGGCUUAAAGUCUUGUAAUUGGAAUGAUGGGAAUUUAAACCUCUUCCAAAGUAUCAAUUGGAGGGCAAGUCUGGUGCCAGCAGCCGCGGUAAUUCCAGCUCCAAUAGCGUAUAUUAAAAUUGUUGCAGUUAAAAACCUCGUAGUUGAAUUUCUGCUGCAUUGCUUGUGUCCCUCUGGGGUCUGUGCAUGUGGCUUUUUUCCGACGGAGUUUCUUUGGCUGAAUGUUUACUUUGAGAAAAUUAGAGUGCUCAAAGGAGGCUUUCGCCUUGAAUAGUUUAGCAUGGAAUAAUAAAGUAGGACUUUGGUUCUAUUUUGUUGGUUUUAGGUACCAAAAUAAUGGUUAAUAAGAACAGUUGGGGGCAUUCGUAUUUAACUGUCAGAGGUGAUAUUCUUAGAUUUGUUAACGACGAACUACUGCGAAAGCAUUUGCCAAUGAUGUUUUCAUUCAUCAAGAACGAAAGUUAGGGGAUCGAAGACGAUCAGAUUCCGUCGUACUCAUAAUCAUAAACUAUGCCGACUAGAGAUUGGAGGUCGUCGGUUUUGACGACUUCCUUCAACACCCUGAGAAAAAAUCAAAUCUUUUUGGUCNCGGGGGGAUGUAUGGUCGCAAAGUCUGAUAUUAG